UGGGGAAUAUUGCACAAUGGGCGCAAGCCUGAUGCAGCCAUGCCGCGUGUGUGAAGAAGGCCUUCGGGUUGUAAAGCACUUUCAGCGAGGAGGAAGGUGGUGAGCUUAAUACGCUCAUCAAUUGACGUUACUCGCAGAAGAAGCACCGGCUAACUCCGUGCCAGCAGCCGCGGUAAUACGGAGGGUGCAAGCGUUAAUCGGAAUUACUGGGCGUAAAGCGCACGCAGGCGGUUUGUUAAGUCAGAUGUGAAAUCCCCGGGCUCAACCUGGGAACUGCAUUUGAAACUGGCAAGCUAGAGUCUCGUAGAGGGGGUAGAAUUCCAGGUGUAGCGGUGAAAUGCGUAGAGAUCUGGAGGAAUACCGGUGGCGAAGGCGGCCCCCUGGACGAAGACUGACGCUCAGGUGCGAAAGCGUGGGGCAGCAAACAGGAUUAGAUACCCUGGUAGUCCACGCUGUAAAACGAUGUCGAUUUUGGAGGUUGUGCCCCUUGAGGCGUGGCUUCCGGAGCUAACGCGUCAAAUCGACCGCCUGGGGAGUACGGCCGCAAGGUUAAAACUCAAAUGAAUUG
rnacentral:rRNA from 1 species